CUUUCUCCCCCAGCCUCCUUUCCCAUCCUGCCGUGUGACCCUUAUCCUCCCUCCCCCAUCCUGCCAUGCCCCCCUAUUCUCCUUAUUCUCAUUCAUUUUGCGAUGUCUCCUUAUCCUGUCCUGUCCUCCCCAUUUAAACCUGUAUCCCUUAUUUAUUCAAACCGAUCUUCCUUACCCUUUCACCUUUAUUUUAUCCCGCCCCCUCUCCACCCUCCCAACCGUAUC